UGGGGAAUAUUGGACAAUGGGCGAAAGCCUGAUCCAGCCAUGCCGCGUGUGUGAAGAAGGUCUUCGGAUUGUAAAGCACUUUAAGUUGGGAGGAAGGGCAGUAAGCGAAUACCUUGCUGUUUUGACGUUACCGACAGAAUAAGCACCGGCUAACUCUGUGCCAGCAGCCGCGGUAAUACAGAGGGUGCAAGCGUUAAUCGGAAUUACUGGGCGUAAAGCGCGCGUAGGUGGUUCGUUAAGUUGAAUGUGAAAGCCCCGGGCUCAACCUGGGAACUGCAUCCAAAACUGGCGAGCUAGAGUGAGGCAGAGGGUGGUGGAAUUUCCUGUGUAGCGGUGAAAUGCGUAGAUAUAGGAAGGAAAACCAGUGGCGAAGGCGACCACCUGGGCUCAUACUGACACUGAGGUGCGAAAGCGUGGGGAGCAAACAGG
rnacentral:rRNA from 1 species